GAUGAACGCUGGCGGCGUUCUUAACACAUGCAAGUCGAACGGUGAAGGCGGAGCUUGCUCUGCUGGAUCAGUGGCGAACGGGUGAGUAACACGUGAGCAAUCUGCCCCUGACUCUGGGAUAAGCGCUGGAAACGGCGUCUAAUACUGGAUACGAGCUGCGAAGGCAUCUUCAGCAGCUGGAAAGAACUUCGGUCAGGGAUGAGCUCGCGGCCUAUCAGCUUGUUGGUGAGGUAACGGCUCACCAAGGCGUCGACGGGUAGCCGGCCUGAGAGGGUGACCGGCCACACUGGGACUGAGACACGGCCCAGACUCCUACGGGAGGCAGCAGUGGGGAAUAUUGCACAAUGGGCGAAAGCCUGAUGCAGCAACGCCGCGUGAGGGACGACGGCCUUCGGGUUGUAAACCUCUUUUAGCAGGGAAGAAGCGAAAGUGACGGUACCUGCAGAAAAAGCGCCGGCUAACUACGUG
rnacentral:rRNA from 1 species